UGACGAGUGGCGGACGGGUGAGUAAUGUCUGGGAAACUGCCUGAUGGAGGGGGAUAACUACUGGAAACGGUAGCUAAUACCGCAUAACGUCGCAAGACCAAAGAGGGGGACCUUCGGGCCUCUUGCCAUCAGAUGUGCCCAGAUGGGAUUAGCUAGUAGGUGGGGUAACGGCUCACCUAGGCGACGAUCCCUAGCUGGUCUGAGAGGAUGACCAGCCACACUGGAACUGAGACACGGUCCAGACUCCUACGGGAGGCAGCAGUGGGGAAUAUUGCACAAUGGGCGCAAGCCUGAUGCAGCCAUGCCGCGUGUAUGAAGAAGGCCUUCGGGUUGUAAAGUACUUUCAGCGGGGAGGAAGGUGUUGUGGUUAAUAACCGCAGCAAUUGACGUUACCCGCAGAAGAAGCACCGGCUAACUCCGUGCCAGCAGCCGCGGUAAUACGGAGGGUGCAAGCGUUAAUCGGAAUUACUGGGCGUAAAGCGCACGCAGGCGGUCUGUCAAGUCGGAUGUGAAAUCCCCGGGCUCAACCUGGGAACUGCAUUCGAAACUGGCAGGCUAGAGUCUUGUAGAGGGGGGUAGAAUUCCAGGUGUAGCGGUGAAAUGCGUAGAGAUCUGGAGGAAUACCGGUGGCGAAGGCGGCCCCCUGGACAAAGACUGACGCUCAGGUGCG
rnacentral:rRNA from 1 species